UACGGAGGGAGCUAGCGUUGUUCGGAAUUACUGGGCGUAAAUCGCGCGUAGGCGGCUUUGUAAGUUAGAGGUGAAAGCCCGGGGCUCAACCCCGGAACUGCCUUUAAGACUGCAUCGCUUGAAUCCAGGAGAGGUGAGUGGAAUUCCGAGUGUAGAGGUGAAAUUCGUAGAUAUUCGGAAGAACACCAGUGGCGAAGGCGGCUCACUGGACUGGUAUUGACGCUGAUGUGCGAAAGCGUGGGGAGCAAACAGG
rnacentral:rRNA from 1 species